AUUGAACGCUGGCGGCAGGCCUAACACAUGCAAGUCGAGCGGAUGAAGGGAGCUUGCUCCUGGAUUCAGCGGCGGACGGGUGAGUAAUGCAUAUGAAUCUGCCUGGUAGUGGGGGAUAACGUCCGGAAACGGGCGCUAAUACUGCAUACGUCCUGAGGGAGAAAGUGGGGGAUCUUCGGACCUCACGCUAUCAGAUGAGCCUAGGUCGGGUUAGCUAGUUGGUGGGGUAAAGGCCUACAAAGGCGACGAUCCGUAACUGGUCUGAGAGGAUGAUCAGUCACACGGGAACUGAGAGACGGGCCAGACACUGAGGGAAGGCAGCGGUGGGGAAGAUUGGACAAAGGGGGAAAGCCUGAACCAGCCAUGCCGGGCGGGUGAAGAAGGGCUGCGGAUGGUAAAGCACUUUAAGGUGGGAGAAAGGGCAGUAAGUUAAUACCUGGCUGUUUGGACGUUACCGAUAGAAGAGGCACGGGCGAACUUCGU
rnacentral:rRNA from 1 species